ensembl:lncRNA
AUGACUGACAGCCUUGGGAGACAAGCAGGAAGAGCGGCCAGGCCACCGCACUCCCGCGAGCCAGUUUGCCAUCAGCUCGUGUUUGGUGGCGCUGACUUGGGUCGAGCCUGCCCCAGCACCGCAUUCGCGGAAGAGUCUGUGGCGGAGAAAGCGUUUCUUCCCCUCCGUUCACUUCUCUUCUCUUCAGGGGAGACACCGCGCCUGCCCACAGAAAAGCCACCUGAACACAGCGUCCCACCUCCCUCGGUCCCGGGUGUUCGCUCCCGGAGGGCUGGGCAGACAGGCAGCUGCACGUUACUGGAGGAAGGAGUGCAGAGUGGUUUCAGGAGCACCGGGGUCUUUGCAAGGAGCGCCGCAGGGGGGGGGCCUGGGGGGCGUGCCUGGGCGCAGGCCCCGCCUCUGCCCACGCUGGCUGAGCUGUGCGCUUUCUGGCCACCAGCAGACGGCAGCUCUGGAGCCCCGCCUCCCGUCCAGCUUCGCAGUGCAACGUCAGCCUGAAGAAGCACAGGAACCGCAGCCUGCUCAGCUCCUUCUUCUGCUGCUUCCGGGACCACAGUGCGGAGGCCCCCCCGGCCAGCGGCCCCAGCGCGCUGCCGCCCCUGGUGGAGGAGAACGGCGGGCUCCAGAAGGUCAGUGCCGCGGGGGCUGCGCCCGGCCCCGCUGCUGGCCGCGUCCCUGCCCGUCCCCGGAAGGUGUCCUCGCACACAUGCGCACAUACAGGCAUGCACACACACACGCACACAUGCUCACACGCACAGUGCUGACGGGGGGCUGCGCCCAGCCCCGCUGGCGGCCGCAUCCCUGCCCGUCCCUGACAGGUGUCCUCGUGCACACGCACACACACACGUAACUGGAGAGCACACUUAGUGGGAGUUAUCAGAGUCACUUCACAUUUGUAUCACAUCCUCUUUCAAGAAGUUGAUGCGUGAAGUAGAGUUACAGACCCAUUGGGGCUGGCACUGGUGUUUGUGGCGUAGCAGGUAAGGCCACCUCCCGAGACGCUGGCAUUCUCUACGGGCGCCAGUUCGAGUCCUGGCUGCUCCACUUCCCAACCAGCUCCCUGCUAACGUGCCUGGGAAGAGCAGUGGAGGAGGGCCAAGUCUUCGUGCCCUCCGAUGGGAGACUUUGUGCCUGGGAGACUCAGAUGAAGCGCCAGGCUCCUGGCUUCGGCCUGGCCCAGCCCUGGCCGUGGCGGCCAUCUGGUGAGUGAACCGCUGGAUGGAAGAUCUGUCUCCAUCUCUACUCUCUGUAACUCUGACGUUCAAAAUAAGGAGCCAGCAGCAGACACACAAAUGGAAACCAGGGAGCCACGCACAGGGAAGAGCUGGCCAUCAAUAGAUCUGUAAUGCAGUGUGACUUCCUCGUGGAAUAGCAGUCAUGUGUUAAUAGUCCCUUGUAUGUAUCAGAUUUAAAAAUAGAAGUCAGUGGUCUGCGCCGCAGCUCAAUAGGCUAAUCCUCCACCUUGCGGCGCCGGCACACCGGGUUCUAGUCGGGGCGCCGGAUUCUGUCCCGGUUGCCCCUCUUCCAGGCCAGCUCUCUGCUGUGGCCCGGGAGUGCAGUGGAGGAUGGCCCAAGUGCUUGGGCCCUGCACCCCAUGGGAGACCAGGAGAAGCACCUGGCUCCUGCCUUCGGAUCAGCGCGAUGUGCCAGCCGCGGCGGCCAUUGGAGGGUGAACCAACAGAAAAGGAAGACCUUUCUCUCUCUCUCUCUCACUGUCCACUCUGCCUGUCAAAAAAAAAAAAAAUUAAAAAAAAUAGAAGUCAGAUCGUCACCACAGGUCAAGAACCAAAAUCUCUCCAGGUGCUGAUAGACACACCCCAGACAAAGGCGCACGGCGAGCAAUGAGAUUUAUGACGACGAACCCAGUGCAAAUGGUGGCAGCACAAACCUGUCAAAAGAGAAUUCUGGGUAAAAUCCGCUGGAAGAGGCACAGGGGAUUGUUUGCUUUAGGCUGAAGGUAGAGGACAGAAAGGUCAGAACACUUCAUGUCCCGAACGCCAGGAGCAGGGCGGGAAGACAGCUGGUCAGGUACGGGAGAAGCGGGGAGUGCUGCACGUGGUUAGCAAAGAAGUGCAGGCCAAGACCACGGCACCUUGGCCGCCAGUCACAUCACCAAACCCUCCUGCAGGCGAGGUUUGGAUUUAGCUCGGGGUGGCAGGGGCAGGUGAGGGUGCCGGGUGGUCGUGGGUAAGAGUGCGGCGUGGGUACAGCUCCGCUGGUGACCGUUUGGCCACCUGACCUCCACUGCUGUUUUGUUUUGGUUAUUCAGUGCCAUACUUGUACACUGUUACGGGGCACAUGCAGUUUUUCAGCAAGUGUACCCAGCAUAAGCUGACCCAGCAGUAAUUCCUUACACCUUAAACCUGUCUCUGGCUGUCAGUCAGGCCGGUCCACUUUAUGGACGAAACUGGGCAGCACCGGGCCUGGCGUUGUGGCACAGGGGGUGGACUGCCACUCGAGACAACAGCAUCUGACCCUGGAGAGCUGGCUGGGUCCUGGCCGCACUGCUUCCCACCCACUCCUGGGGAGGCAGCGGAAGAUGGCCCAGUGCCUGGCCUCUGCCACCCCGCUGGGGGACCAGAGAGCUCCAGGAUGGUGCCGGCCUGGCUGGGGCGGCCAUUUGGAGAGUGAAGCAGCAGAUGGAAGACCUCUGGCUCUCUGCCUUUGAAAUAAACAAAUCGACAAAUCCUUUUUUUAUUUAUGA